UACGGAGGGGGCUAGCGUUAAUCGGAAUUACUGGGCGCAAAGCGUGCGUAGGCGGUUGUUUAAGUCUGCUGUGAAAUCCCCGGGCUCAACCUGGGAAUGGCAGUGGAUACUGGACAGCUAGAGUGUGUCAGAGGAUGGUGGAAUUCCCGGUGUAGCGGUGAAAUGCGUAGAGAUCGGGAGGAACAUCAGUGGCGAAGGCGGCCAUCUGGGACAACACUGACGCUGAGGCACGAAAGCGUGGGGAGCAAACAGG
rnacentral:rRNA from 1 species